GAACCUGAAUAUCCAUUAUAGAGAAUUCAUCAUUAUGAUUUUAAUAUUUAUAAUAUUAUAAUAAUGGUGUGCAUUUUUUCUAUAAAAGGACAUUGUAAUCUAUUAACAUAAAUUUAUAUUUAUCAUAAGAUCAAUUCGCGUAAGUUUAUUUAAAUUAUUUUGCUUGCAAUUUAAUAUCGAAUAAAUGCAUUUGAUUUGAUAAAGUGUUGAUAGAUUUAUUAUAUAUAGUGCUUAAAUAUAUAUAUAUUUUAUAAUAUCAUAUUAAUCAAUGAUUAUUAUGUUUAUUUAUAUGCACUUAUAUGAUUAACAAUGCGAAAGAUUCAGGAUACCUUCGGGACCCGUCUUGAAACACGGACCAAGGAGUCUAACAUAUAUGCAAGUUAUUGGGUAAAUAAAACCUAAUAGCGAAAUUAACAUAACUUAUAUAAUAAUGGGAUUAGUUUUUUAGCCUAUAUUUUUUAUAGUCUAUUAAUUCAAUCCCGGGGCGUUCUAUACAGUUAUGUAUAAUAAUAUUAAUAUUAUUUAUACCUCUAACUAGAACGUACCUUGAGCAUAUAUGCU
rnacentral:rRNA from 1 species